AAAAAGUUGUUUAGCGACGGAUUGCUACGGAAUAAUAGUUUCGUUGCCAAAAAAGCCAAAAAAUAGUUAGCAUAUAAUAUAGCGACGAAAUCGAAAAAUCGUUGCUAAAUAUUGGCGCCCUCAAUAUAGCUACAGAUUUAGCGACAAAACCUGAGCGACAAAAUUUAUUUACCUACAACGACGGAAUUAGCAACGAAAUGGUAGAACGCUGGGAGCAAAUAUAGUCGGCUGGGAGCAAAAUCAAUGGAAAACGCACUUGAGAGCAAGAACAAGGGCAAAAAUUAGUAGCCAACGUGAAUUUAAGUUGGGAACAACUUUGGAAAGAUCCCAAGUGUGUUGAAAAGUCAGAAACAAAUGCAAAGAAUCGUCGUGGCGGUAGGAGUGGAGUCUCCACUGAGACUCACACAGGCGGCUCUGUCUCCAUUGGGGAGUAUCGCAAGAGACUUGUAAGUAUAUCGCAACCUUAGCUUUAUUG